UACAACUGGUCCGCUGGUACAAAAGGAUCAGUUGUAGUUAACAGGUACAGAAGAUCAGUGUCUCAGCUAUUCCAGCCAGGAAGUGGCACGAUGGGAAUGGUUCCUGCUUAAAUGAGGACUCACUGAUUCACAGAAAGCCUUGAGUUCCUUCUAAAGGAGGCACAGAGUGGCCAAAAGAGGUUGCUGGUUUAUAGUUGCUUCUCUGGAACUAUAUUACUUUGUUUCUCGGAGAAACUUGGGAAUGCAACCUACCCAAAACCUUUCACUCCCUUUUCUUUGCAGCUUUACUUGAUGAGAAACAGCAAACCUGAUUUACGCUACCAAAUUAAUCAAUUUUUUUCUUAGGGAAUGGAUGAUCUGCAAGUGGCAUCUGCUGCCGCAGAUAUCUUGUCUUAUCUUGUUGACUUUUGCCCACUCCUGGUCCAAGAACUUGUCAUGCAAGAGGCCCAGCAAAAGACCACGGUACUAACCUCAUCUGUGCACUCAUGCAGCAGAUGUUAUGGCAUCAUGCUGUUGCAUUUGGAAGAGCUGAUCAGGUCAUGGAGCUGUUGCAACUCUGCUUGAUCCAGAGAAUCUGCUGACCACAGCUGAGGUAUCCAAAAUACUUGGAUUUUUCAAUUCCUUCUAUGCCCACUGUCCUCCCGUUCUGACUGCACCGCUUCUGGCCAGUGCAGCAACAGGUACCUGGGAAAUAGCAAAUGAGGAUUUUUUUCCUUGUUUUCCCCCUUGGAGGCUUGUAGUGUCUGGAAGGGACUGACAGGGGUGCUCCCAGCAAUCAGCUGGUCAGGCCGGCUGGGAGUGCACCUGAGAAAAAUGGCUGCUCCCCGAGGACAGAGCUUCUUUAGGCAGCACUUUUCAGCCCUUACUUGCCCCUCCCUGAAAUGCCUUCAGGCUGUGCUUUGUGGCAGACGGACCUCCUGCAGGAGGGUUGUUCAUGGUGGAGGAGUUGGACUUGUAUCUUUUCUAAGAUUUGCUUCAAGGGCCAAAAAAGUCACCUCUCUGUGGGUUCUUUUGUUCUCCCCCAAAGUUCUGCCUCCUAAAGCAACCCAGGAAAGCCAAAGUCCACUAAAACCAUGUCAGCAAGCGCAGGAGCACUUGAGCUGGGUGGAUGGCACAGGACAUUUCUUUCUUUUUUUUUUGCCUUUGUUGCUCAUUGAAGGCAUUACUUUUCCUAUAGAUGAUUAUCAAACAGCACAACUCCUGGUUUUAAUUUUGGAGCUGUUGAGUUUUUGUGUGACACAGCACAAGGAGCACAUGAGGGGUUACAUCCUCCACUGGGAUUUGCUAAGAGUCGUGCUCUUGAUCAAUUCCCAACACACAUUUCUGGCCUUGAGUGAGUAAUCUUUGGCAUUUUGUUCUUCCAAGCUUAGUAUGUCCUGGGUGGAAGGUGUUCCAGGAGACACUUGAACUCAAGAUUCAUGGGAAGGGAU